UAUCUUUUAAAAUAAAUGUUAGAAGAUGAUCCUUAUCAGCUGUAGUAACUAGAGAAACUAAUUAGCUUAUUUAGAAGUAAAAUUAUUUAGCCCCUGUUAGCGGUCUGUUUGAACUUGCAGAACAGGUUUUCCUAAUAUUUCAGCACCAAGAUGAGUGUGCAGUGCUUAAGGGCACAAAUUACAUCUGUAGUAUAGCAAAGAAAAUUAAUGUGUUUACCUAUGCUGUAUCCUCUUUGUUCCUAUUGCAGCACCAAAGAGCGCAGCUCGUGUGUACCUUGGCUGCCCUGGCUGAGGGAAGACGUGGCACACUGGAACACACAGUUUUAGAGACUGUAGGAAGGGAAAUAUUUAUUGUUCUGAAAUUGAAAUACUGCCUGAUCUUGGAGGUUUAUCAGUGAUGAAAAUACCCUUGAGGCARACUGAUGCUAUGCAGAAGCUUUAAUUAAGCUGUACUAAUUUCAUUCAGGUGGAGACCUGCUUUUUUGUCAGGAUGUGACUCAUUCCAUGCUUCCAGGAGAAAUGAGCCUGUUUGUCUAUAAGGCGGUCGGUCAUCUGAUAACGCUCUGCUGCAGGAUAGAAGCGCUCGUCAUCGACAGCAUUUGG